AUCCUUAAACAAUAUGUAAAAGCACACUUUAUUUCCGGCCGGGGCAAUGCAAAGGGGUUUCGCCCCCCCGUGCAUUCCACUGAGAAAAGAAACACAACAGCUUUUAUACAUUUGGAAGGACGGCUGCCCGCGGGCUCCUCCUUCCCGCUGAGCCCCGCCGGGCUCGGAACGAGUUUGUGCCUCGGCCUUGGCCGCAAACAUCGCAUUCGUUCCCCUGUGACAAGCCGAUAAUGACACACUCGAGAGACACAUUGAGUCGUUAUUACUCCAGAGUUGGGUGCCCGGUGCUGUUUCACAAGUCAGGCACCAACUCGCAGAGCUUUUUACUAUUUAUACAUUUUAGCAAACAAAGCAAACCAAGCUUGCAAGCAGCUGCGAGACAUUAAAGCUCGACAGAACA